GUGAACGCUGGCGGUAGGCCUAACACAUGCCCGUCGAACGGCAGCACCGUAAGAGCUUGCUCUUACGGGUGGCGAGUGGCGGACGGGUGAGGAAUACAUCGGAAUCUACUUUUUCGUGGGGGAUAACGUAGGGAAACUUACGCUAAUACCGCAUACGACCUACGGGUGAAAGCAGGGGAUCUUCGGACCUUGCGCGAUUGAAUGAGCCGAUGUCGGAUUAGCUAGUUGGCGGGGUAAAGGCCCACCAAGGCGACGAUCCGUAGCUGGUCUGAGAGGAUGAUCAGCCACACUGGAACUGAGACACGGUCCAGACUCCUACGGGAGGCAGCAGUGGGGAAUAUUGGACAAUGGGCGCAAGCCUGAUCCAGCCAUACCGCGUGGGUGAAGAAGGCCUUCGGGUUGUAAAGCCCUUUUGUUGGGAAAGAAAAGCAGCAGGUUAAUACCCCGCUGUUCUGACGGUACCCAAAGAAUAAGCACCGGCUAACUUCGUG
rnacentral:rRNA from 1 species